rnacentral:rRNA from 1 species
UACAGAGGGGGCAAGCGUUGUUCGGAAUUACUGGGCGUAAAGGGCGCGUAGGCGGCCGGUUAAGUCGAACGUGAAAUCCCCGGGCUCAACCCGGGAACUGCGUCCGAUACUGGCAGGCUUGAAUCCGGGAGAGGGAUGCGGAAUUCCAGGUGUAGCGGUGAAAUGCGUAGAUAUCUGGAGGAACACCGGUGGCGAAGGCGGCAUCCUGGACCGGCAUUGACGCUGAGGCGCGAAAAGCCAGGGGAGCAAACGGG